CACCCUUGCAAAACAAAAGGAAGUGUUCUGGUCAGUAUAUAAGGUUGCUUAUUUCUCUUUACUACCACAAUUUCCUUUGUUGAUUUGCCAACCAUACCGAUACAAUGAAGCUUCUGGUGGCUGUUAUCGCAUUUGUCUGUCUGACUGAGCUCGUGCUUUGUCAGGGCAACAAUUUGGGUCUGUUGGCCGCCGGUGGACUUUUAGGCUUUGCUGCAUCCCGGUCAGGUUUAUUCGGUGGUGGUAACCGAGGAUUCUUCCCCGGAGGAGGAUAUGGUUACGGCAGGUUCGGUCCAGGGGGAUUCGGUCAUGGAGGAUUCGGUCCAAGCUACGGUCCCGGUUAUGGAUUCCACCGUCCUUAUUAUGGAUAGAUAAAAGUCUCAUCACCUGACAUUGAUGUAUCUGUGGACUUUAUAACGCCAACCUGACAGACAAGGUUACCUACACGAAUGACGCCUCGCCGUGUGUUGACACUACAUCAUCAACAGACUGACACGUAGCUCACCUGUAAUAUCUACCUGUGUUCUAAGGACUGAUAUUGUCUGUUACUUCUUAAUAUGUGAAUGCCGUCUAUUUAUUAAUAAAAUGUUAUUAUACGUCC